rnacentral:rRNA from 1 species
CCUACGGGGUGCUGCAGUGGGGAAUAUUGGACAAUGGGCGAAAGCCUGAUCCAGCCAUGCCGCGUGUGUGAAGAAGGCCUUCGGGUUGUAAAGCACUUUCAGUGGGGAAGAAAGCCUUGGGGCUAAUACCCUCGAGGAAGGACAUCACCCACAGAAGAAGCACCGGCUAACUCCGUGCCAGCAGCCGCGGUAAUACGGAGGGUGCGAGCGUUAAUCGGAAUUACUGGGCGUAAAGCGCGCGUAGGCGGUCUGAUAAGCCGGUUGUGAAAGCCCCGGGCUCAACCUGGGAACGGCAUCCGGAACUGACAGGCUAGAGUGCAGGAGAGGAAGGUAGAAUUCCCGGUGUAGCGGUGAAAUGCGUAGAGAUCGGGAGGAAUACCAGUGGCGAAGGCGGCCUUCUGGACUGACACUGACGCUGAGGUGCGAAAGCGUGGGUAGCAAACAGGAUUAGAUACCCCGGUAGUC